AGCAGCCGCGGUAAUUCCAGCUCCAAUAGCGUAUAUUAAAGUUGUUGCAGUUAAAAAGCCGUAGUUGAAUUUCGGGGUCAAUAAGUUGGUCAUGCCAAUGGUAUGCACUGGCUUUAUUAUUCCUACCUCUUGACGAACUGUGAUGCCAUUAAUUUGGUGUUGCAAGGAAUCAGGACUUUACCUUGAAAAAUUAGAGUGUUUAAAGCAAGCUUACGCUUGAAUACAUUA
rnacentral:rRNA from 1 species